CAGGGGUCAGACGUAUGCAACAUGAUAAACGCUCUUCAGCUAUUAGCCUGAAGAAAAAAAAAUCAUCUGUUAUCUAUGCACAAGUAGCACAAGCAAAAUAAAGAUGAGCUUCAUGGGAGAGACAGGAUGAACUUGGAGCUGAAUGCAUGGAAUAUAACAUUUCUGGAAAUUGAUAUUUUUACCUGAGAACAGAUGAAGAGUUUUCUUCUCAUGUAUCUGUUCUGAUUUAAUAUAAUUAUUGCAUCGCUCUUUUCGAAGAUAAAUCAUGAAUGAUAAUUUGCAAUAUAAAUGAUUCUCUUAAUAAUGUUUCAACAAUCCUUUCACAGAUUCUGUAGACGCUAUGUUAAAAAUAAGCAGCAAUGAUCGUUCAGCUAUGCAGUGCAUUGCGUAAGAUUGAGUUUUUCUGCCUUCUGUUGGCUCAUUUAAUUAAUUCACUCAACGAUACACCUACCAUUUCUAUUAUCCAUGGUUAUCAGAGUAAGUUCCAUCUUAUGCUGAUGUUUUUCAUCCUCUCCCCAUUAAAUACUCCAAGCUAAAUUC